rnacentral:siRNA from 1 species
CUGAAGUAUACUGACACUAGU